rnacentral:rRNA from 1 species
UCCAGACUCCUACGGGAGGCAGCAGUGGGGAAUAUUGCACAAUGGGGGGAACCCUGAUGCAGCGACGCCGCGUGGGUGAAGGAGUAUUUCGGUAUGUAAAGCCCUAUCAGCAGGGAAGAACAAUGACGGUACCUGACUAAGAAGCACCGGCUAAAUACGUGCCAGCAGCCGCGGUAAUACGUAUGGUGCAAGCGUUAUCCGGAUUUACUGGGUGUAAAGGGAGCGCAGGCGGCGCGUUAAGCCUGGUGUGAAAGCCCGCGGCCCAACCCCGGGACUGCUCUUGGAACUGCGCGGCUGGAGUGCAGGAGGGGCAGGCGGAAUUCCUGGUGUAGCGGUGAAAUGCGUAGAUAUCAGGAGGAACACCGGUGGCGAAGGCGGCCUGCUGGACUGCGACUGACGUUGAGGCCCGAAAGCGUGGGGAGCAAACAGGAUUAGAUACCCCCGUAC